GGGCUCACUGUGACAUCCCCUGGCUCAGGGGAUGGGGAUGACCCGGGAGGGGAUGGGGAAGGGCUCACUGUGACAUCCCCUGGCUCAGGGGAUGGGGAUGACCCGGGAGGGGAUGGGGAAGGGCUCACUGUGACAUCCCCUGGCUCAGGGGAUGGGGAUGACCCGGGAGGGGAUGGGGAAGGGCUCACUGUGACAUCCCCUGGCUCAGGGGAUGGGGAUGACCCGGGAGGGGAUGGGGAAGGGCUCACUGUGACAUCCCCUGGCUCAGGGGAUGGGGAUGACCCGGGAGGGGAUGGGGAAGGGCUCACUGUGACAUCCCCUGGCUCAGGGGAUGGGGAUGACCCGGGAGGGGAUGGGGAAGGGCUCACUGUGACAUCCCCUGGCUCAGGGGAUGGGGAUGACCCGGGAGGGGAUGGGGAAGGGCUCACUGUGACAUCCCCGGGCUCGGGGGAUGGGGAUGACCCGGGAGGGGAUGGGGAAGGGCUCACUGUGACAUCCCCUGGCUCAGGGGAUGGGGAUGACCCGGGAGGGGAUGGGGAAGGGCUCACUGUGACAUCCCCUGGCUCAGGGGAUGGGGAUGACCCGGGAGGGGAUGGGGAAGGGCUCACUGUGACAUCCCCUGGCUCAGGGGAUGGGGAUGACCCGGGAGGGGAUGGGGAAGGGCUCACUGUGACAUCCCCUGGCUCAGGGGAUGGGGAUGACCCGGGAGGGGAUGGGGAAGGGCUCACUGUGACAUCCCCUGGCUCAGGGGAUGGGGAUGACCCGGGAGGGGAUGGGGAAGGGCUCACUGUGACAUCCCCUGGCUCAGGGGAUGGGGAUGACCCGGGAGGGGAUGGGGAAGGGCUCACUGUGACAUCCCCUGGCUCAGGGGAUGGGGAUGACCCGGGAGGGGAUGGGGAAGGGCUCACUGUGACAUCCCCUGGCUCAGGGGAUGGGGAUGACCCGGGAGGGGAUGGGGAAGGGCUCACUGUGACAUCCCCGGGCUCGGGGGAUGUGGCCGCGCUGGAGGAGCCGGGGAAG
rnacentral:lncRNA from 1 species